rfam:Nicotiana attenuata strain TT chromosome 1, whole genome shotgun sequence.
UGGACAGAUUAUUGUAUUCGACUGUAUUCACGGCGUGAAAUAGGGGAUUACAUUAUUUUUAAACAGAAAGUGAAUUAAUUAACAUAAUAAACUCCU